rnacentral:misc_RNA from 1 species
UCCCCACCACUGGGGCCGUGUGCAACCCGCGCAUAGACUACGGUGGAGCACUGCCCUCGCGCAUCAUUCGACCUCCGCGCACAGCAGUCUAGGCAACAACGCCCUGCACUGUACACGCGUUCGGGAGCUCGACUCUCGUAGCGACACGACGAACAGGAUAAGUUAAGCGAGCACAAUGCCUUUCAAACCAGCAGAUAACCCCAAGUGUCCGAAAUGCGGCAAGUCCGUAUACGCGGCGGAAGAGCGCGUCGCCGGUGGCCUCAAGUGGCACAAAAUGUGCUUCAAAUGCGGCCUCUGCCAGAAAUUGUUGGACUCCACAAACUGCUCAGAACACGAAGGUGAACUUUACUGCAAAGUUUGCCAUGCGCGCAAAUUCGGACCAAAAGGAUACGGCUUCGGCGGUGGCGCUGGCUGCCUCUCCAUGGACACCGGAGAUCACCUGAAGGGCGAGAACGCGGAUGGCGUAAGAACCAAUGGAGCUUGCUUAGAAUCACGCGUUAUUGCCAAAGCUCCACCUGGAGAAGGAUGCCCAAGAUGUGGCGGCUAUGUUUAUGCUGCAGAACAGAUGUUGGCUCGCGGAAAGGCUUAUCACAAAAAAUGCUUCAAAUGCAUAACUUGCCACAAGCAACUUGAUUCAAUGAUCCAUUGUGACGGGCCAGAUAACGAGAUAUACUGUCGAGGCGUGGCAUAGAGAGUGUUUCAAGUGUGGUGAUUGCUUGAAGCGGCUGGACUCCACGAACUGUUGUGAAGGUCCUGAUAAAGACAUUUACUGCAAAGUGUGCUACGGAAAGAAGUUCGGUCCUAAAGGAUACGGCUAUGGCAAAGGAGCCGG